rnacentral:rRNA from 1 species
UACCAGCUCCUCGAGUGGUCGGGACGAUUAUUGGGCCUAAAGCACCCGUAGCCGGUUCCGUAAGUCCUCUGUUAAAUCCAGUCGCUCAACGGCUGGCCUGCAGAGGAUACUGCGGGACUAGGAGGCGGGAGAGGCGGACGGUACUCCGCGUGUAGGGGUAAAAUCCUUUGAUCCGCGGAAGACCACCAGUGGCGAAGGCGGUCCGCCAGAACGCGCUCGACGGUGAGGGGUGAAAGCUGGGGGAGCGAACCGG